rnacentral:rRNA from 1 species
GUCGAACGGCAGCACGGGGGCAACCCUGGUGGCGAGUGGCGAACGGGUAAGUAAUACAUCGGAACGUGUCCUGUAGUGGGGGAUAGCCCGGCGAAAGCCGGAUUAAUACCGCAUACGCUCUACGGAGGAAAGGGGGGGAUCUUAGGACCUCCCGCUACAGGGGCGGCCGAUGGCAGAUUAGCUAGUUGGUGGGGUAAAGGCCUACCAAGGCGACGAUCUGUAGCUGGUCUGAGGGGACGACCAGCCACACUGGGACUGAGACACGGCCCAGACUCCUACGGGAGGCAGCAGUGGGGAAUUUUGGACAAUGGGCGAAAGCCUGAUCCAGCAAUGCCGCGUGUGUGAAGAAGGCCUUCGGGUUGUAAAGCACUUUUGUCCGGAAAGAAAACGUCGUGGUUAAUACCCGUGGCGGAUGACGGUACCGGAAGAAUAAGCACCGGCUAACUACGUGCCAGCAGCCGCGGUAAUACGUAGGGUGCAAGCGUUAAUCGGAAUUACUGGGCGUAAAGCGUGCGCAGGCGGUCCGCUAAGACAGAUGUGAAAUCCCCGGGCUUAACCUGGGAACUGCAUUUGUGACUGGCGGGCUAGAGUAUGGCAGAGGGGGGUAGAAUUCCACGUGUAGCAGUGAAAUGCGUAGAGAUGUGGAGGAAUACCGAUGGCGAA